rnacentral:rRNA from 1 species
CAAGACCUUGUGCUUUAGGAGCGGCCGAUGUCAGAUUAGCUAGUUGGUGGGGUAACGGCCCACCAAGGCGACGAUCUGUAGCGGGUCUGAGAGGAUGAUCCGCCACACUGGGACUGAGACACGGCUCAGACUCCUACGGGAGGCAGCAGUGGGGAAUUUUGGACAAUGGGGGCAACCCUGAUCCAGCCAUGCCGCGUGAGUGAAGAAGGCCUUCGGGUUGUAAAGCUCUUUCGGCCGGGAAGAAAUCGUGUGGGCUAAUAUCCUGCAUGGAUGACGGUACCGGACUAAGAAGCACCGGCUAACUACGUGCCAGCAGCCGCGGUAAUACGUAGGGUGCGAGCGUUAAUCGGAAUUACUGGGCGUAAAGCGUGCGCAGGCGGUUUUUUAAGACAGGCGUGAAAUCCCCGGGCUUAACCUGGGAACU